AAGGGUGUAUUUCUAUAAAAAUGCCAUUUUUCACUGGAAAUGUUAAAGAUUAUAUGCUUUGGGAGCAGGAGACCGCAGGUUCGAAUCCUGCCAUCC
rnacentral:tRNA from 1 species